rnacentral:misc_RNA from 1 species
GUACGCGGUUUGGAGAUUCAGUGGACUGCAAAGGUUUAGAAGAAUUUCCUCUUGAGCUACCAGCAGGUGUAAAUGAUGCAGUUGCCAUGCGAGAAUCAUUUAGAACAUUCAUGUCAAGAGCAUUGUCAGAACUCAAGUUCUUCGGAGUUGGUUGUUUAAAAUGCAGUCGCACUGCAGGGCUUGAAACAUUGUCAGAUCUAACACGAUCUGUAACCUCUGCUGCU